GCAUUAGUGAGACGAUUUAAUAAAAAGAAACACAUUUUUGAACAUGUGUUUAUUAGCAGUCUGCAGUCUAGUCAGUUUAGAUUGGAAUCUUGAAGUCUUGAACAGUAUUAAUCUGAUUUAAUCGAGGAAAACAGAAUGAAGAGACUAGAUGUUCUUCUAAUCUUGGCAGAAAGGAAUGAAAGAAGAAAACGCGAACUGGAGCUCAAUGGUUUACCGUCAGAAAGCAAAUAAUUCUUUGCCCAUAACCCCAAAUUUUUCAAGGCAGACUCCAUCCUCGUUGAAUCAUCAUCCCAGAGUGCUUCGUCAAAAAGUAGUAGACAGGAAGAAUUAAAUCGUGCUACAGUUCUGGAUAAUUUUGAUGAUACACAAGUUUAUCUUUUUUAUUCAAAAGGCGAAGUAAACUAUUCUUGGCUUGAUAAAGAUCUAGGUAUUAAAGAUGUUCCAAAGAUGUCUUCUUCAGAUUUGGUGAACUAUUUGCGGUCAGAAAUAAAGGGCAAUAAAUUACAACGAUCAUUGUUAACCUGCAAAUUAUCAUGUAGGAGAUAUUUGUUCUUUCUAAUGUCAGUGACAACAAGCAAAGAUGUGGCAGAACUCAGAAGUGUGUCUCAAGAUUCUUUCAGAAAAAAUAUUUGAUAAAACUCAACAAUUCUGUAUUGAAGUGCCUGACUUACUUCUAGUCCUGAUGAAUUUUGGUACUGUUCAAAGCAACUUUUGGCCUGUGGCUUUGGACAUUUCUUUUCCUCGCCCACUCCGGAAAUUUUCCAUGAACAGUUUCCAUUCGGAAAAACAUCAUGUCCCUUUCCCUCGCUUGAAUUUGGAGAAAAUAUUGUCUCUUGAGUUUCAAUGUGAAAACAUAUCCCUAUUUUUCCGAGAACGAGAAAAUUGGAAUGUGCAACCUCUUGCUAAACCUUUACAUGGCCAAUUUUAUAGCUGGAGACACUUUUCUAACUCUCAAAAUCAGAGACAUUAUAUCACGUAUACUUGAAAGUUUUACAGUAGAGGAAUGGAGUGAACUUAAUUUCAAAAUGUAUUGAAGAACUUAUUUUGCAGUGUUGGAUUGAGAACCUGUAACCUACAGCGAUGGUUCAACGAAUUACGUACAGUAUAUACCAACAACUACAAGCCGUGGAGCAACUACAAGCUGUCGGUUCAUCAGCG